GUGUAGCUCAGUGGUAGAGUGUUUGCCUAGCAUGCAAGAGACCCUGGGUUCCAUCACCAGCAC
rnacentral:tRNA from 1 species